rnacentral:rRNA from 1 species
AGAGGGUGCAAGCGUUAUUCGGAAUUACUGGGCGUAAAGCGCGUGUAGGCGGUUUGGUAAGUUUGAUGUGAAAUCCCUGAGCUCAAAUCAGGAACUGCAUUGAAUACUGCCAGACUAGAGUAUGGGAGAGGAGAGCGGAAUUCCUGGUGUAGAGGUGAAAUUCGUAGAUAUCAGGAGGAACAACAGAAGCGAAGGCGGCUCUCUGGACCAUUACUGACGCUGAGACGCGAAAGCGUGGGGAGCAAACAGGAUUAGAUACCCUGGUAGUCCACGCUGUAAACUAUGGAGAUUAGAUGUCGGGGGGUCUUUGCCCCUUCGGUGUCGUAGCCAACGCGUUAAAUCUCCCGCCUGGGGAUUACGGCCGCAAGGUUA